GGAGGAAAAGAAACUAACAAGGAUUCCCCUAGUAACGGCGAGUGAAGCGGGAAGAGCUCAAAUUUGUAAUCUGGCCCUUUCAGGGUCCGAGUUGUAAUCUCGAGAAGUGUUUUCCGCGCCGGACCGCAUACAAGUCUGUUGGAAUACAGCGUCAUAGUGGUGAGAGCCCCGUAAUUGAUGUGGAUGCCCGGUGCUUUGUGAUACACUUUCGAAGAGUCGAGUUGUUUGGGAAUGCAGCUCAAAUUGGGUGGUAAAUUCCAUCUAAAGCUAAAUAUUGGCGAGAGACCGAUAGCGAACAAGUACCGUGAGGGAAAGAUGAAAAGCACUUUGGAAAGAGAGUUAACAGUACGUGAAAUUGUUGGAAGGGAAACGCUUGAAGUCAGACUUGCUAUUCGGAAUUCAGCCGCAAGGUGUACUUUUCGAUUUGCAGGCCAGCAUCAGUUUUUGGGGGUGGAAAAGGGUGGAGAGAAGGUAGCAACCUUGGUUGUGUUAUAGCUCUUUACUUGAUUCAUCUUUGGGGACUGAGGAUCGCAGUGCGCAAUUUACUUUGCAAACCUUUCGAGGUUUUCGUACUUAGGAUGCUGGUGGAAUGGCUUUAAACGACCCGUCU
rnacentral:rRNA from 1 species